CAUCGACACGGAGGGAGGGUCAGUGCUGAGGUUAUCGCCCCUUCGGAAUGACCGAGACAACGACCAGUCGGUGGUGUGUGAGGCAAGCAAUGACGAUGGGACAGCCACGACACGGGCAAGGCUUACUGUCACUCAAGCUGACAGUCGUCCAGCGGGCUAUCCCGAGAUCACGUCCAGUCCAAGACUUAGUGUGGUGGUGCAGGUAGACCGACCGGCGACCAUCUUAUGUGGAGCCACCGGCAACCCUGAGCCUGAGAUCCUGUGGUUCAAGGAAUUUGUACCCAUCGAAACUAAUGACAGGAUCUCCAUAACGGAUUCGGGCCUUCAGUUUUCCAGAGCUCAGCUGUCUGACCAGGGUCACUAUGAGUGUGCCGCGAAGAACUCCCUGGGAACACGCUACUCUUGGCGUGCUCAAUUCUAUG